rnacentral:rRNA from 1 species
GAUGAACGCUGGCGGCGUGCCUAAUACAUGCAAGUCGAGCGAACGGACGAGAAGCUUGCUUCUCUGAUGUUAGCGGCGGACGGGUGAGUAACACGUGGAUAACCUACCUAUAAGACUGGGAUAACUUCGGGAAACCGGAGCUAAUACCGGAUGAUAUUUUGAACCGCAUGGUUCAAAAGUGAAAGACGGUCUUGCUGUCACUUAUAGAUGGAUCCGCGCUGCAUUAGCUAGUUGGUAAGGUAACGGCUUACCAAGGCAACGAUGCAUAGCCGACCUGAGAGGGUGAUCGGCCACACUGGAACUGAGACACGUUCCAGACUCCUACGGGAGGCAGCAGUAGGGAAUCUUCCGCAAUGGGCGAAAGCCUGACGGAGCAACGCCGCGUGAGUGAUGAAGGUCUUCGGAUCGUAAGACUCUGUUAUUAGGGAAGAACAUAUGUGUAAGUAACUGUGCACAUCUUGACGGUACCUAAUCAGAAAGCCACGGCUAACUACGUG